AGAGUUUGAUCAUGGCUCAGGACGAACGCUGGCGGCGUGCUUAACACAUGCAAGUCGAGCGGAAAGGCCCCUUCGGGGGUACUCGAGCGGCGAACGGGUGAGUAACACGUGAGUAACCUGCCCUCGACUCCGGGAUAAGCCUGGGAAACUGGGUCUAAUACCGGAUAUUCACCUCCUGUCGCAUGGUGGGGGGUGGAAAGUUCCCUCUUUUUGGGGGUUCGGUCGGGGAUGGGCUCGCGGCCUAUCAGCUUGUUGGUGGGGUGACGGCCUACCAAGGCGACGACGGGUAGCCGGCCUGAGAGGGCGACCGGCCACACUGGGACUGAGACACGGCCCAGACUCCUACGGGAGGCAGCAGUGGGGAAUCUUGCGCAAUGGGCGAAAGCCUGACGCAGCGACGCCGCGUGGGGGAUGAAGGCCUUCGGGUUGUAAACCCCUUUCAGCACCGACGAAUGAAGGACGGUAGGUGCAGAAGAAGCGCCGGCUAACUACGUGCCAGCAGCCGCGGUAAUACGUAGGGCGCGAGCGUUGUCCGGAAUUAUUGGGCGUAAAGAGCUCGUAGGCGGCUUGUCGCGUCUGUCGUGAAAGCCCACGGCUUAACCGUGGGUUUGCGGUGGAUACGGGCAGGCUAGAGGCAGGUAGGGGAGCAUGGAAUUCCCGGUGUAGCGGUGAAAUGCGCAGAUAUCGGGAGGAACACCGGUGGCGAAGGCGGUGCUCUGGGCCUGUUCUGACGCUGAGGAGCGAAAGCGUGGGGAGCGAACAGGAUUAGAUACCCUGGUAGUCCACGCCGUAAACGUUGGGCGCUAGGUGUGGGGUUCUUCCACGGAUUCCGCGCCGUAGCUAACGCAUUAAGCGCCCCGCCUGGGGAGUACGGCCGCAAGGCUAAAACUCAAAGGAAUUGACGG
rnacentral:rRNA from 1 species